GACAGAGGUGCCGAGCGUUAGGCGGAAUCACUGGGCUUAAAGCGUGUGUAGGCGGAUCGUUAAGUACCUUGUGAAAUCCCACGGCUCAACCGUGGAACUGCUGGGUAUACUGGCGAUCUUGAGCCACUUAGGGGCUGUCGGAACAGACGGUGGAGCGGUGAAAUGCGUAGAUAUCGUCUGGAACGCCAACGGUGAAAACAGACAGCUGGGAGUGCGCUGACGCUGAGACACGAAAGCCAGGGGAGCGAACGGG
rnacentral:rRNA from 1 species